rnacentral:lncRNA from 1 species
ACUUUCUCCAUUGAUAGAAGGGCCUCAAGUCUUAACUUAGAUUAACCAGACAACAAGGUCAUGUGAGCACCAAUAAAAUCUCUGGUCUUUAUUCAUCUCUCAUCGUCUCCGUAACAUGUUUUAGAGUUGAAGUGAAAUGUUUACUGUAUGUUUCCUUUUGUGCAAUCACUCUUACUAUUUUGUAUCUUGUUUUAUUUAGUUGGAAGUAAGCUGGGGAAAAACCAAGCAACACCAACACAAAGCAGUUAAGGCAACAACAACUGAAACAACAUCAAACCAACACAAAAACGAAAACAGCAACAGAAACCAGUACAAGAAACAUGAACUCAUGAAGAAACCAAAACACAAAACGAAAACCUUUAAAAAAAAAACGGUCCUAGCAAGUUGCAGCAG